UUAUGGAGCUGAGAAUUCCCAAGAUCUGCCAUCUGCAAGCUGGAGAACAGGGAAAGCCAGCAAUACAGUUCUACAGUCCAAGUCCAAAGGCCUGACCACUAGGAAUUCCAAUGCGAAGGGAAGUAUCACCAGCCUCAACUACUACUCCCCAUCCCCUGCAACUGCCAUUCUUUCUGACUUGUCUCUAGAAAAGGCCACGUGACCUCUCCCUCAGGCUGACCCAUUGUCCCAGCCAGAAUGUCCAGCCAAAGCAGAAUAAAGCAUCUACUGGACCUAAAAGAGUGCCCCUGAUAUCUUCCAACUGGGUUCUGAAAGGAUUCCCUGAGGGGAUUUUAUCAUAGACACAUUUA
rnacentral:lncRNA from 1 species